CUUACUGUGAUGUGGAGACUGUUUCCAUGAAUCCCAAGUGAGAUCCAGAGACCGUGCUAGGUUUUCAACAGCCAUAUCCUACAGUGGGAUUAUGUUUGAGUUUGUAGCCACCUGAAAUCCUCAGGCCUUCUUUUUUUUUCCCCAUGAAAAUCAGUGCUUCUCUUGUCUUUUAUCUGUAUGAUAACAUUUUAAAUUUAAAUAUAGGGUUUUAUGUUUAUUCUUGUUAUAUUUAAUCUUUUUGGUUUUGAUCCAGCAAUUCAGCCUGCCAAAAAUUCAGAUUGCUAAAUAAGGGAUACCAAUCAGAUGUUUUCUAUCUUCCCUGGAGAAACUAAGGAACUCAAGUUUAAAAUGCAUCAUGAAGAAUUGGGAUAAAGAGUUUCCUGAAGAAAGGGAGGAAGAUGAUUGUGUACAGAAUCAUUGCAACAGGACAUCUGAAAAUGUCAAACGAAAAGGAGAACUGAACUUUUCUAUGAAGAGCUUGAUUAUGGCCAUACAGUGAAUUAAUGAGUAUUCAGUGAGUCCACAGUAAUUUGUGGAGGGUCGUCUGCAUGCCAUGCACUGUGCUAUGUCCCGAGGGUCCAUGAAUUCUUUGUUAACAAAAUAAAAAUACUCCCAUACAAAGAGGCACUUUCAGAUGCAUUACCUCAUCUCUAAUAGAACUCACAUUCGACAGAAUCAUGUGGAGGCUGAUCAAUAUUCUAAAUGAUAGUUUCAUAAAUACUGCCCCUAGGCUUGUCUACUCACUGGGAGCUGCAGGGGUUGGUAUUCCAGCCAGCAAAUGAAACAAUCUGCAUACAUGCUUAAAUCAAGUUCGUUUAAAAUUAGAAAAUGGCAUAAUGUAUUCAAAAGUUUUUAUGCAAUAUUUGCAUGGAAUUUAAAAGAUGUUACAUGCUUUGAAUUAAGAGAGCAGAGUGAUGUGUAGCUCAUCUAUUGGUCGGAUGGAAUGUUUAAAAAUCAAAUUUUAGAGAGCUCUGUACUUUAAAAGAAAAUAAAAUAACUUUGAAAGAAAAUAAAAUCAGAAUG